AACGCGAAGAACCUUACCUGGGCUCGAAAUGCAGUGGACCGGGGUAGAAAUAUCCCUUCCCCUUAAAAGGCUGCUGCAUAGGUGCUGCAUGGCUGUCGUCAGCUCGUGUCGUGAGAUGUUGGGUUAAGUCCCGCAACGAGCGCAACCCUUAUCCCUAGUUGCCAUCGGGUCAAGCCGGGCACUCUAGUGAAACUGCCUGGGAUAACCAGGAGGAAGGUGGGGAUGACGUCAAGUCCUCAUGGCCUUUAUGUCCAGGGCUACACACGUGCUACAAUGGUCGGUACAAACCGUCGCAAACCCGUGAGGGGGAGCUAAUCGGAAAAAGCCGACCUCAGUUCGGAUUGGAGUCUGCAACUCGACUCCAUGAAGCUGGAAUCGCUAGUAAUCGCGGAUCAGAACGCCGCGGUGAAUACGUUCCCGGGCCUUGUA
rnacentral:rRNA from 1 species